GACGAACGCUGGCGGCGUGCCUAAUACAUGCAAGUAGAACGCUGAAGAGAGGAGCUUGCUCUUCUUGGAUGAGUUGCGAACGGGUGAGUAACGCGUAGGUAACCUGCCUUGUAGCGGGGGAUAACUAUUGGAAACGAUAGCUAAUACCGCAUAACAAUGGAUGACACAUGUCAUUUAUUUGAAAGGGGCAAUUGCUCCACUACAAGAUGGACCUGCGUUGUAUUAGCUAGUAGGUGAGGUAACGGCUUACCUAGGCGACGAUACAUAGCCGACCUGAGAGGGUGAUCGGCCACACUGGGACUGAGACACGGCCCAGACUCCUACGGGAGGCAGCAGUAGGGAAUCUUCGGCAAUGGGGGCAACCCUGACCGAGCAACGCCGCGUGAGUGAAGAAGGUUUUCGGAUCGUAAAGCUCUGUUGUAAGUCAAGAACGAGUGUGAGAGUGGAAAGUUCACA
rnacentral:rRNA from 1 species